AUUGAACGCUGGCGGCAGGCCUAACACAUGCAAGUCGAGCGUGCGGCAGACGGGUGAGUAAUGUCUGGGAAGUGCCCAGUCGAGGGGGAUCACAGUUGGAAACGACUGCUAAUACCGCAUACGCGUGGAUUGCCGAGGUGGGAUUAGCUAGUUGGUGAGGUAACGGCACACCAAGGCGACGCCCCCUAGCUGGUCCGAGAGGAGGAUCAGCCACACUGGAACUGAGACACGGUCCAGACUCCUACGGGAGGCAGCAGUGGGGAAUAUUGCACAAUGGGGGAAAGCCUGAUGCAGCAAUGCCGCGUGUGUGAAGAAGGCCUUCGGGUUGUAAAGCACUUUCAGCGAGGAGGCGUUACUCGCAGAAGAAGCACCGGCUAACUCCGUGCCAGCAGCCGCGGUAAUUC
rnacentral:rRNA from 1 species